rnacentral:rRNA from 1 species
ACUCAAAUGAAUAGACGGGGGCCCGCACAAGCGGUGGAGUAUGUGGUUUAAUUCGAAGCAACGCGCAGAACCUUACCUACCCUUAACAUCCCAAGACAGCUACAGAGAUGUAGUCUUCCUUUCGGGGACUUGGAGAUAGGUGCUGCAUGGCUGUCGUCAGCUCGUGUCGUAAGAUGUCCGGUUAAGUCCGAUAACGAGCGCAACCCCUGUUCUCAGUUACCACCAUUAAGUUGGGGACUCUGAGGAGACUGCCGGUGUUAAACCGGAGGAAGGCGGGGAUGACGUCAAGUCCUCAUGGCCCUUACGGGUAGGGCUACACACGUACUACAAUGGCAGAAACAGACCGUUGCAAAACCGCGAGGUGGAGCUAAUCGGUAAAACACUGUCUCAGUCCGGAUUGCAGUCUGCAACUCGACUGCAUGAAGCUGGAAUCGCUAGUAAUCGCUGAUCAGCAAGCAGCGGUGAAUACGUUCCCGGGCCUUGUACACACCGCCCGU